AUAUGCAUUAGGGCUGCUAUUGUUUUAGGCAAGCUCGAAUUGUGAAUCACGGCAUCGCUAUAGCAACUAAGUACAAAAGGAAGCCAGGCAAAAGGCCUCCUCUGGCAGGGACCUGCGCUCUUCCAAGGGGGAGCAUCUGCAGCAUUUUGACACCUGCGGGGUCCCAUCUCUGUUAACAGUUGGGGAGAGGAGUUUGCGAGGAUCUAGAAGUCAAGGGACAUAGGGGUCCUAAUGCUUCUUUGCCUCCGGAGGCCAGGACCAUAUACAGUUAACUGGUGCGGGAGUCGGGCGGAAAACUUGAGGAUUAUGGUUCCACAAAUCAGUGUGAGGAGGGGGCUUGUCUGUGUGCUGUCUGGAGAGGUAGAGAAGUCAAGUUACAAGGUCUUAAAGGAGCAGGGAGAGGCAUGGCAGCAGAUCUACACUGUGAUGUCGCUCAGUGUCAUGGAGGAUAUGCUCCUCAGAGUCUAGUGAAUCUUCAGUCUACUAAGAAGUCCCUGAAGCAAGCCUGAAGAGUGUCUUCAGGGGAACAGAAUCAACAGAAGAUACACAGAUGCACAUGUACAUGCACAUGCAUAUAUACAGACAGUAUACUAGAAUGGCAUACAAUGGAUAGGGCUGAGUUGCACAACAAUGGCUGUCUACAUGUGGUAGGGAAGAGGCUAACCACCCCACAAUUGCUCAGUCUAUGAAAUGAAUGUCUCAACACUCAAAAUAUGAUGCCAAAGGCAGGGAAGAUUAUUGGAAAAUCAAUGCUCUUCAAUCUACACUGGAACCCAAAGAAGCCAUAGUCUGAUGUUAAAGAAGGAUGCAGCAGCAGCAGCAGCAGCAGCAGCAGUCGGAGCUGGAGCAGCUGGAGCCGGAGGAGCCGGAGGAGCAGGAGC